CUGGACAUCGGGUACUAUUGCUAGAUGGUCAUUUCGAUUAGUACAGGAAUUGGUUCCUGUGCUACCCGCUUAGGAUCGAACCUGCGAAGUCACAUACAUUAGAAGUUCCUAUCUGAUCUAAUGGCUGGUGAAGAGUCCUAAGUAUCUGAGAUUCUAUGAUCGAGAAUCAGGAUUCUCUGAUCAUGAGUUCCACAUAUUUUGGGUAUCGGGGUCAAAAGUCCCACUAGUUUGGGACUUUUCGAUCAGG
rnacentral:lncRNA from 1 species